rnacentral:RNase_P_RNA from 1 species
GGGGUGACCCGCGGGAAAGUGCCACAGAAAACAAACUGCCGGUCUUCGGAUCGGUGAGGGUGAAACGGCGGGGUAAGAGCCCACCGCGUCAUCGGUGACGGUGACGGCAUGGCAAACCCCACCUGGAGCAAGGCCAAGAAGAUCGUGAGGUCGCGGACGUGUUUGAGGGUCGCUCGCCCGAGCGUUCGGGUAGGCCGCGCAGCCGAAAGGCUGGAGGACACCAGCAAUGGUGUUCACAGAUGGAUGGUCACCGGCCCGGAGGGCUACAGAACCCGGCUUACAGGAUGGCUCGUCCC